AUAUACCAGGAGAGAGUAUUUCUCGUUGUAAUCCGUCAUCUGCGGUGGGCGACCCACAUCUGGGGCGAGAGAGUAUUUCUCAUUGUAAUUCGUCAGAGUCAGACCUACUUUGUCAAGUGUAUGAGAUUUCUACUUCAGAAGAGAGGUUGCUGUGAGAGAGAAAGCAUUGACAGUCAAACUGUAGCGUGUAAAACUGGAGACUUGACUAGUUGACUUGAUUCUUGUAUAUUUCUUUACGUGGUUAACUUGGCUUUAAAAGAAAAGCAUAGACAUGGGUUGCAAGCUUUGCAAGAAAUUAAACAACAAGAGAAGGUUGGAACAUGGGGAGCGUGACGUAACCAAUGGUGAACUAAAUGUUCAAGAUCGUCUUGGAGAAGAGACGGCAGAAAUAGAAAAUUGUAGAAGACGUCGUUCCAUACAAGAGACUCUGGUUGAAGAAUUUGAUUUUUUACCUCAUGUCUUGGAUUUGAUAAGAGAAUAUGGAUAUUCCAUGGAAGCGUGGGAUGAUUUUGUGUUGAAUGUUCAGUCAACACAAGAAGAAAUGUAAAUAUGAAUGUACUAGUUACCAACUUUCAGGUCCGUUUUAAAACGUUGCAUUUUACAGGAGCCGAAUGUAUUUAAAACAAAAGAAAUAAAUAUUUACUUUAUUAUCGUAAAAA